GUUUGAUGUUCUAACGUGGACCCGUAAUCCGGGUUGCGGACAGUGUCUGGUGGGUAGUUUGACUGGGGCGGUCUCCUCCUAAAGAGUAACGGAGGAGCACGAAGGUUGGCUAAUCCUGGUCGGACAUCAGGAGGUUAGUGCAAUGGCAUAAGCCAGCUUGACUGCGAGCGUGACGGCGCGAGCAGGUGCGAAAGCAGGUCAUAGUGAUCCGGUGGUUCUGAAUGGAAGGGCCAUCGCUCAACGGAUAAAAGGUACUCCGGGGAUAACAGGCUGAUACCGCCCAAGAGUUCAUAUCGACGGCGGUGUUUGGCACCUCGAUGUCGGCUCAUCACAUCCUGGGGCUGAAGUAGGUCCCAAGGGUAUGGCUGUUCGCCAUUUAAAGUGGUACGCGAGCUGGGUUUAGAACGUCGUGAGACAGUUCGGUCCCUAUCUGCCGUGGGCGCUGGAGAACUGAGGGGGGCUGCUCCUAGUACGAGAGGACCGGAGUGGACGCAUCACUGGUGUUCGGGUUGUCAUGCCAAUGGCACUGCCCGGUAGCUAAAUGCGGAAGAGAUAAGUGCUGAAAGCAUCUAAGCACGAAACUUGCCCCGAG
rnacentral:rRNA from 1 species